CAGAAGCCAAUCAUGAUUACAACGUUCAACCAACAUCCGAAGAGCAACAAGCUAAAUUACGAAAGAUCGAAGAGCUUACGAAUAUGUUAAAGGACACGGAUAAGAACUUAACAAUAUGCGAGGAAAUACUAACGACUUAUUUGAGGAAACGAUUGAAGGAUUAGCACAAAUUUUUGGAUACAACGUGGCCCCGAUACGAUUGUCAACGCUACCAAAUCCAACUGGAACUGACAAUAAUGCAGGUGCAUCUGGGAACAAUCAGAGUCCUUCUAUGCAACCACCGAUGCAACCAUCGAUGCAACCACCGAUGCAACCACCGAUGCAACCACCGAUGCAACCACCGAUGCAACCAUCGAUGCAACCACUAAUGCAACAACCAAUGCAACCUCCAAUGCAGCAAACUUCUUCAUCACAAAUGAUGCCAAUGUCAACAACCCCAGCACAACCAAGGCAAAGAGAAACAAUAAGAUUUACCGGUGUUGUUAAUUUUGGGAAUAGAUCCGACGUGAUUGGGCAUUUGCAACAAUACGAAAGAAUAUUUCAUGGUGAUCAAACAGCAAAUGCUGCACCAUCAUCACCAUCACCACCAUCAUCAUCAUCAUCGAUGCCACCACCUGUAUCAACAACUCCAGCAUCAUUCAGUACAAUGUCGUCGUUUGAUAUAAGGGAUUCCUUAAAAUACAGGCCACCAUUGUUGACUCCUUUUUUAGUGAAAAUCCCUUUACCGAUAGCACCUAAUCUUCCAACACCAAUAUCUUCAACAAUGAUAAACAAUUCUCCAAAAAUGAAUAUUAUUAAUGUGCCACGUAAAAAGGAACAAGAAAUUGUUUAUAGGAAGAAUGAGAAUAUUGAAAAUUAUAGCGUCGAAAAUAAAGAAAUUCAAAGCGAGAAGGAUGUUGCCAGACCGGAAAAUAAAUUUCAACAGAAUAUUUAUAUCGAUGAACCAUAUUGGAAAAAGUUGCACGAGGCAAGGAUUGCUCAAUUGGAACGCCAACAGGAAGAAUAUGCUGAAAGAUUGAAGGAACGUGAAAGAGAACGAAAUCAUAGUUAUCAUCCUAAACAGGAAGAAAUAAUAAAUCCGCAAAAAGAAGAGGAGGAAGAGGAGGAAGAAGAGGAAGAAGAAAAACAACAAAAUCAUAAUUAUCAGGAAGAGGAUCAUUCCGAGCAAGAAGAACAAUCGAAUAAUCGUGAAAAAGAAGAAAAUGAUGAAGAAGAAGAGCAUCCGGAAAAUAUUAAAGAAGAAAGGCACGAAAGUAACGACGAGGAAUCCGAAACUUCAGGUGAACGAUACGAAGAACAUCAUCCAGGAUAUCCACGAGGAGGUCCUGCCAAUGAAAAACAACAAUUGCAAAAUACCGGAAAUUACAAAGAUUACGAGAAUGAUUCUUAUAGAAAUUAUGAAAGAGAAGAAAAUAUCAAAGAACCAUUACCUAUAAGUGAUUAUUACGAACAAGAGAAACCACCCCAACAACUUCGCGACAGUUACGGUGAAAUUUUAGAUAAUCGUGCAUUGGUGGACGAAAGGAUCGCUAAUUAUUUCGACAAAAAUAAGAAUCAACAAAAUGACGAUAAGGAUUCUAAUAAAAAUUCUGAAUCAAUCAACGAAUCCGAGGAAAAGUCUGAGGAACGAUACGAGUUGAUCAAAAUUGAACGGAACAACGAAGAUCCUUACAAACGAAUUCGAGAAGAAUAUGCGAUAACACCUUUGGAAAAUAAAUAUGAAGAAUUUAAUUUAGAAACUACCGAUAAAUCGGAAUUAGAAAAUAUCAAUGCGUCGGAUAAUCCAAAUAACGAUAAUGAUCGAUACGAUCAAACUACUACGAAUACGAACGAUCAAAUUGAGGAUAGCGAGUCUAAUUUAUUCGUAGAUAAAACUAAACAAAUUAAUUCGAACGAAUUGAUAUCUAAAAAGGUAAGUAACAUUCGUAAUAAUAAUAAUAAUAAUAAUAAUAAUAAUAAUAAUAAUAAUAAUAAUAAUAAUAAUAAUAAUAAUAAUAAUAAUAAUAAUAAUAAUAAUAAUAAUAUACGUAGUAGAAAAUAUCUAUUCGCUUUUAGGAUUAUCGAGUCGAAACGAAGUCAACGAAGUACACACCGAAAUUGGCACCCUGAGCUCUGGAAGUAUUAUACUUUUAAUAUUGGCUAUUCGUGAUUCAGGAUCUUCUGUAAUUCACGUUGAAACUUAACAAUAACACAGAGACAACACACGAUAAAGAUAGCACCCGGGAAACUAGCAGUUUCCGAAGAAACAGCCGAAUUCUGAGCAGUAUGAGAAUAACCGAGCUCCAAACUCGACGUGGCUGAAGUUCGACGCAUU
rnacentral:misc_RNA from 1 species